rnacentral:rRNA from 1 species
AGAACGAACGCUGGCGGCAUGCCUAACACAUGCAAGUCGAACGAGACCUUCGGGGUCUAGUGGCGCACGGGUGCGUAACGCGUGGGGAAUCUGGCCCUUCGGUUCGGAAUAACUCAGGGAAACUUGAGCUAAUACCGGGAUAAUGAACUUCGGUCCAAAGAUUCAUCGCCGAGGGAUGAGCCCGCGUAGGAUUAGCUUGUUGGUGAGGUAAAGGCUCGACCAAGGCGACGAUCCUUAGCUGGUCUGAGAGGAUGAUCAGCCACACUGGGACUGAGACACGGCCCAGACUCCUACGGGAGGCAGCGAGUGGGGAAUAUGGACAAGGUGGGACGAAAGCCUAGAGUCCAAGUCAAAUGCCGCGUAGACGUGAAUGGAAGGUCCGUUAAGGGUUAGUAAA